AGCUGUUGAGAAAGCUACAUCAGGACCAAAGUCUGGGAUGCAAAGCUAAGUAAGAACUUCACUGACAGGGUUACUUACCAAAUAGUGCUGCAGUGCACUGGGAGAAAGCUUAAUGUGAAGACCCAGCUCUCUCUUUAGUGUGCUGAAAGAUCACCAAACAAGGACACCUGCUUUUACCUGUGCACAUCUUUGGAAGUGUCUGGACCAG